ACGGGGGCAGCAGUGGGGAAUAUUGCACAAUGGGCGAAAGCCUGAUGCAGCGACGCCGCGUGAGCGAAGAAGUAUUUCGGUAUGUAAAGCUCUAUCAGCAGGGAAGAUAAUGACGGUACCUGACUAAGAAGCACCGGCUAAAUACGUGCCAGCAGCCGCGGUAAUACGUAUGGUGCAAGCGUUAUCCGGAUUUACUGGGUGUAAAGGGAGCGUAGGCGGUUUUACAAGUCUGAUGUGAAAGCCCGGGGCUCAACUCCGGUAUUGCAUUGGAAACUGUAGAACUAGAGUGUCGGAGGGGUAAGUGGAAUUCCUAGUGUAGCGGUGAAAUGCGUAGAUAUUAGGAGGAACACCAGUGGCGAAGGCGGCUUACUGGACGAUUACUGACGCUGAGGCUCGAAAGCGUGGGGAGCAAACAGGAUUAGAUACCCUGGUA
rnacentral:rRNA from 1 species